GGAGAAAUGGCAGAGUAAGGUUUAUUGUAUCUGAUUUGAAAUCAGAAGAAUUUUAAAUUCCGUGGGUUCAAAUCCCACUUUCUCCU
rnacentral:tRNA from 1 species